UACGUAGGGUGCAAGCGUUAAUCGGAAUUACUGGGCGUAAAGCGUGCGCAGGCGGUUUUGUAAGUCUGUCGUGAAAUCCCCGGGCUCAACCUGGGAAUUGCGAUGGAGACUGCAAGGCUAGAAUCUGGCAGAGGGGGGUAGAAUUCCACGUGUAGCAGUGAAAUGACGUAGAGAUGUGGAGGAACACCGAUGGCGAAGGCAGCCCCCUGGGUCAAGAUUGACGCUCAUGCACGAAAGCGUGGGGAGCAAACAGG
rnacentral:rRNA from 1 species